UCUCGAUCCCCAUUCUUAGAUCAAAUCUUAACCCUAGCAGCAGCAUAGCAGGAUCAACGCGCCGCCGGAAAUCAGAUCGUCGAGCGAGAGCUAUUCGCGAUUCCUCCCCUCGACAUGGCUUCCACUUUCCGGGGAUCUCCGCAGGCUUCUUGAUGGAGCGGCGCCUAUCUCUUGCGAGGCUGCCACGCGCUCUUCAGGCCCUUGCUGCUCGGCGACCACGAACUGAACGAUGCGGCAGCGCGGGGCAAGGAAUCGGAGUGCAGCAGCAAGGUGAACACAUGGGGCACGUCGGAUCAGGGUCAAUCCAGGUGCAACUUCUCUUUCCCCCUUUCCAAAUUCCUCUCAUUUUCCCCAUCAUUGACCCAUUAAUCUUUCUAGAAUUUUGGGCAUCCUUCCCAGAUCUUAUGGCGUUGGCCGCUGAUAAUCUACAGUUCACGUUUUCCUGCAUCGUUGGAGAGAUCAUUCGCUAUUGAUUACAUGUAUACGUUAGCCAUGGAUACUCCUAGUGCGUAGACAAAACCACCCAUAGUAAGUACUUUUGGUACUCAGUAUGAGAGAGAGAGAUGCGAUGACCACUAUGUGCAACAAAUUUGUGCUCUUUAUACUUACUAUAUGCAAGAUUUUAUCACCUACUUAAAACAAGUAUUCGGUGAAUUCAUGUUCCAACAAGCUUUAGAGCAUUUUUCUUGAACUAAAUUUUAUUUUCUGCUGAUCUGAAUAUUUAUUGUUGAUGUGAAUUGACUAGAGUGAGUGAGUGUAUGUGUUGUGUGAGAUACAGUAGUGUGUGCUAGUCUGUUUUUUUCCCGUACUUUCAGAAAGUUAUUUAUUUAUUAUUUACCAGCUUUUGGUAAAGCAUCUUCUAACAUGUCUAGGUACGGCUCUUCUUUUCUAAAUUGUUUGCUGUUGCCGCAGGUAUAGACUGAAUAUCAGGCUUUCUUGCCACAGCUUUGCAAGGUGUUGAUUAGUUAGUAGCAGACUAGCAAGUAUUUUUUGAUCGGCUAAUGGCUGCAAAUUGCCCUUAUAGGACGUGUGAGGAAUUCUUGCACUUCUUAUUUUCUGAUCAUGCAGUUCUAGACACUAAUAUUGAUUGCUGAUUUGACUUACAAUUAUACUCUACCCAUCUGCAGUUCAAUUGGGCAAAGGAAUUUUGCAAUCAGGUCAUUGAGUUUCAUGAAUGUACAGGUAAAUUUUUUCAUCUUUAGGGUGCCAUCUUUUCUUGAUAAAAUUCGAAAAUGCAUAUAGUUAAUUUCAUGCUUUUAUUUGUAGGAUUUAUAUGCGUACAUAACAAGAUUCUCAAAUUGUGGCCAUGAUGAGCAUUUUAUGUUGUCGAAAUGAUUCCAUUGAUGCUGCUGACCACAUAUUCAAAAGAUAAAUUGAUGAUGAUGUGGGACAAGUUGAAUGGAAGGAGGACAAUGUUGCCGCUGCUAGAUAGUCUAUUUCACAUCUCUCCAUUUUAGUUAUUUGUGGGAGAGCAAUGAUGUUGUAAACAUAGUAUUUAUAUAUGUACCACAUCGAUGGUGUUACUCUUGUAAUGCAACGAUUUUAAUUCAAUAUAUAAUAUGUCUCUCUUCUCUAUAAAUAA